CCUACGGGUGGCAGCAGUGGGGAAUAUUGCACAAUGGGGGAAACCCUGAUGCAGCGACGCCGCGUGAGUGAAGAAUGCCUUCGUUAUGUAAAGCUCUAUCAGCAGGGAAGAAAAUUACGGUACCUGAGUAAUAAUCCCCGUCUAACUACGUGCCAGCAGCCGCGGUACUACGUAGGGGGCAAGCGUUAUCCGGAUUUACUGGGUUUAAAGGGUGCUUAUGCUGUGAGGUAAGUCAGCGGUGAAAUGCCCGCGGUCAACGGGGUGAAGUGCCAUUGAUACUGCCUUGCUGGAGUGCGGAUGAGGUGGGAGGAAUGUGUGGUGUAGCGGUGAAAUGCAUAGAUAUCACACAGAACACCGAUUGCGAAGGCAUCUCACGAAGCCGCGAUUGACGCUGAUGCACGAAAGCGUGGGUAUCAAACAGGAUUAGAUACCCCUGUAGUC
rnacentral:rRNA from 1 species